GAAUAUUGGACAAUGGGCGCAAGCCUGAUCCAGCCAUGCCGCGUGAGUGAUGAAGGCCUUAGGGUUGUAAAGCUCUUUCGCCAGGGACGAUAAUGACGGUACCUGGAUAAGAAGCCCCGGCUAACUUCGUGCCAGCAGCCGCGGUAAUACGAAGGGGGCUAGCGUUGUUCGGAAUCACUGGGCGUAAAGCGUAUGCAGGCGGAUCGUUAAGUCGGGGGUGAAAUCCCGAGGCUCAACCUCGGAACUGCCUUCGAUACUGGCGAUCUUCGAGUCCGGGAGAGGUGAGUGGAACUCCGAGUGUAGAGGUGAAAUUCGUAGAUAUUCGGAAGAACACCAGUGGCGAAGGCGACACACUGGCUCAUUACUGACGCUGAGGCGCGAAAGCGUGGGGAGCAAACAGG
rnacentral:rRNA from 1 species